rnacentral:rRNA from 1 species
UCUACUGGAUGCUGCAGUAGGGAAUCUUCCACAAUGGGCGAAAGCCUGAUGGAGCAAUGCCGCGUGGGUGAAGAAGGUCUUCGGAUCGUAAAACCCUGUUGUUAGAGACGAAAGUGCGUGAGCGUAACUGUUCGCGUUUCGACGUUAUCUAACCAGACAGCAACGGCUAACUCCGUGCCAGCUGCCGCGGUCAUACGUAGGUGGCAAGCGUUAUACGGAGUUAUUGGGCGUACAGGGACCGCAGGCGGUCGUUUAAGUCUGAUGUGACAUCCUACGGGUUAACCGGGGUAGGGCAUUGGAAACUGGGAGACUUGAGUGCAGAAGAGGAGGGUAGAACUCAAGGUGGAGCGGUGAAAUGCGUAGAGAUAUGGAAGAAAACCAGUGGCGAAGGCGGCUCUCUGGUCUGUAACUGACGCUGAGGUUCGAAAGCGUGGGUAGCAAACAGGAUUAGAUACCCUUGUAGUC